rnacentral:rRNA from 1 species
UACGUAGGGGGCAAGCGUUAUUCGGAUUUACUGGGUGUAAAGGGCGUGCAGCCGGAGAGACAAGUCAGAUGUGAAAUCCACAGGCUCAACCUGUGAACUGCAUUUGAAACUGUUUCCCUUGAGUAUCGGAGAGGUCAUCGGAAUUCCUAGUGUAGCGGUGAAAUGCGUAGAUAUUAGGAAGAACACCAGUGGCGAAGGCGGCCUGCUGGACGAUGACUGACGUUGAGGCUCGAAAGCGUGGGGAGCAAACAGG